rnacentral:rRNA from 1 species
GACGUAGGGCGCGAGCGUUGUCCGGAUUUAUUGGGCGUAAAGAGCUCGUAGGCGACUUGUCGCGUCGUCUGUGAAAUCCCGCGGCUCAACCGCGGGUCUGCAGUCGAUACGGGCAGGCUAGAGUUCGGUAGGGGAGACUGGAAUUCCUGGUGUAGCGGUGAAAUGCGCAGAUAUCAGGAGGAACACCGGUGGCGAAGGCGGGUCUCUGGGCCGAUACUGACGCUGAGGAGCGAAAGCGUGGGGAGCGAACAGG